rnacentral:rRNA from 1 species
CCCUUAGAUGUUCUGGGCCGCACGCGCGCUACACUGACGAAUGCAACGAGCUUAUAACCUUGGCCGAAAGGUCUGGGUAAUCUCCAAAUUUCGUCGUGAUGGGGAUAGAUUAUUGCAAUUAUUAAUCUUCAACGAGGAAUGCCUAGUAAGCGCAAGUCAUCAGCUUGCGUUGAUUACGUCCCUGCCCUUUGUACACACCGCCCGUCGCACCUACCGAUUGAAUGGUCCGGUGAAGCCUCCGGAUUGGCGCGCACCUCGGUGCCGCCGAGAAGUUGGCUAAACCUUNCNAUUUAUNGGAAGGUGAANUCGUANCA